CCCUCUGCUCUGGAGCCAGGCUGGGAGAGCUGGGGGUGCUCACCUGGAGAGGAGAAGCUCCAGGGAGAGCUCAGAGCC
rnacentral:miRNA from 12 species